UAAGCGGAGGAAAAGAAACCAACAGGGAUUGCCCUAGUAACGGCGAGUGAAGCGGCAACAGCUCAAAUUUGAAAUCUGGCUCUCGGGCCCGAGUUGUAAUUUGUAGAGGAUGCUUUUGAUGCGGUGCCUUCCGAGUUCCCUGGAACGGGACGCCAUAGAGGGUGAGAGCCCCGUCUGGUUGGAUACCAAAUCUCUGUAAAGCUCCUUCGACGAGUCGAGUAGUUUGGGAAUGCUGCUCUAAAUGGGAGGUAUAUGUCUUCUAAAGCUAAAUACUGGCCAGAGACCGAUAGCGCACAAGUAGAGUGAUCGAAAGAUGAAAAGCACUUUGAAAAGAGAGUUAAAAAGUACGUGAAAUUGUUGAAAGGGAAGCGUUUAUGACCAGACUUGGGCUUGGAUAAUCAUCUGGGGUUCUCCCCAGUGCACUUUUCCAGUCCAGGCCAGCAUCAGUUUUCGCCGGGGGAUAAAGGCUUCGGGAAUGUGGCUCCCUCCGGGGAGUGUUAUAGCCCGUUGCGUAAUACCCUGGCGGGGACUGAGGUUCGCGCAUCUGCAAGGAUGCUGGCGUAAUGGUCAUCAACGACCCGUCUUGAAACACGGACCAAGGAGUCGUCUUCGUAUGCGAGUGUUCGGGUGUCAAACCCCUACGCGUAAUGAAAGUGAACGCAGGUGAGAGCUUCGGCGCAUCAUCGACCGAUCCUGAUGUUCUCGGAUGGAUUUGAGUAAGAGCAUACGGGGCCGGACCCGAAAGAAGGUGAACUAUGCCUGUGUAGGGUGAAGCCAGAGGAAACUCUGGUGGAGGCUCGCAGCGGUUCUGACGUGCAAAUCGAUCGUCAAACAUGGGCAU
rnacentral:rRNA from 1 species